GAUCAUUAAAGAGUAAGGGUCAUUCGUGGCCCGACCUCCAACCCUUUGUUGUUAUAACUACCUCGUUGCUUUGGCGGGACCGCUCGGUCUCGAGCUGCCGGUCUUAGGCCCGGCAAGCGCCCGCCAGAGUCCAAUCAAACUCUUGUAUAUAACCGGUCGUCUGAGUUAAACUUUUAAUUAAAUUAAAACUUUCAACAACGGAUCUCUUGGUUCUCGCAUCGAUGAAGAACGCAGCGAAAUGCGAUAAGUAAUGUGAAUUGCAGAAUUCAGUGAAUCAUCGAAUCUUUGAACGCACAUUGCGCUCCCUGGUAUUCCGGGGAGCAUGCCUGUUCGAGCGUCAUUACACCACUCAAGCACUGCUUGGUAUUAGGCCUUCGUCCACCUCAGUGUGGGCGUGCCUCAAACACCUCGGCGGAGCCUCACCGGCUUUGGGCGUAGUAGAAUUUCUCAACGUCUUGCAAGUACCGGUUUGACUCCUUUGCCGUUAAACACCAAACUUUUUUUUACAGGUUGACCUCGGAUCAGGUAGGGAUACCCGCUGAACUUAAGCAUAUCAAUAAGCGGAGGAAAAGAAACCAACAGGGAUUGCCCUAGUAACGGCGAGUGAAGCGGCAACAGCUCAAAUUUGAAAUCUGGCACUUGUGUCCGAGUUGUAAUUUGUAGAGGAUGCUUUUAGGCAGCCACCGGUCUAAGUUCCUUGGAACAGGACGUCAUAGAGGGUGAGAAUCCCGUAUGUGACCGGACAGGCACCUUCUGUAAAGCUCCUUCGACGAGUCGAGUUGUUUGGGAAUGCAGCUCUAAAUGGGAGGUAAAUUUCUUCUAAAGCUAAAUACCGGCGAGAGACCGAUAGCGCACAAGUAGAGUGAUCGAAAGAUGAAAAGCACUUUGGAAAGAGAGUUAAAAAGCACGUGAAAUUGUUGAAAGGGAAGCGCUUGCAAUCAGACUUGUCCUCGGGUGUUCCGCCGGUCUUCUGACCGGUUCACUCAUUCGGGGACAGGCCAGCAUCACUUUCGGCGGCCGGAUAAAGGCACUGGGAAUGUAGCUCAACCUUCGGGGGGAGUGUUAUAGCCCGGUGUGUAAUACGGCCAGCCGGGAGUGAGGUCCGC
rnacentral:rRNA from 1 species